rnacentral:misc_RNA from 1 species
CCUCCAGCUUUGGCUGGUGUUGGGUGUCUGUCCCCCCGUUGCGCGAGGACUCCCCUCAAAGCAAUUGGCAGCCGGCAUAAGCCUGGGAGCGCAGCACAAUUGUUGCUUCCAUUCUUAGAUGUCGAGCGUCCAGCAAGCCUUUUAUUCUUGCGUUUGACCUCGGAUCAGGUAGGGAUUCUCGCUGAACUUAAGCAUAUCAAUAAGCGGAGGAAAAGAAACCAACAGGGAUUGCCCUAGUAACGGCGAGUGAAGCGGCAUCAGCUCAAAUUUGAAAUCUGGCUCUCUCAGAGUCCGAGUUGUAAUUUGCAGAGGGCGCUUUGGCGUUGGCAGCGGUCCAAGUUCCUUGGAACAGGACGUCACAGAGGGUGAGAAUCCCGUACGUGGUCGCUAGCCUUCACCGUGUAAAGCCCCUUCGACGAGUCGAGUUGUUUGGGAAUGCAGCUCUAAAUGGGAGGUAAAUUUCUUCUAAAGCUAAAUACUGGCCAGAGACCGAUAGCGCACAAGUAGAGUGAUCGAAAGAUGAAAAGCACUUUGGAAAGAGAGUCAAAUAGCACGUGAAAUUGUUGAAAGGGAAGCGCUUGCAGCCAGACUUGCCUGUAGUUGCUCAUCCGGGCUUUUGCCCGGUGCAUUCUUCUAUAGGCAGGCCAGCAUCAGUUUGGGCGGUUGGAUAAAGGCCUCUGUCAUGUACCUCCUUUCGGGGAGGCCUUAUAGGGGAGGCGACAUGCAACCAGCCUGGACUGAGGUCCGCGCAUCUGCUAGGAUGCUGGCGUAAUGGCUGUAAGCGGCCCGUCUUGAAACACGGACCAAGGAGUCUAACAUCUAUGCGAGUGUUUGGGUGUCAAGCCCGAGCGCGCAAUGAAAGUGAACGGAGGUGGGAUCCCUUAAGGGUGCACCAUCGACCGAUCCUGAUGUCUUCGGAUGGAUUUGAGUAAGAGCAUGGCUGUUGGGACCCGAAAGAUGGUGAACUAUGCUUGAAUAGGGUGAAGCCAGAGGAAACUCUGGUGGAGGCUCGCAGCGGUUCUGACGUGCAAAUCGAUCGUCAAAUUUGGGCAUAGGGGCGAAAGACUAAUC